GGCUGGAGAACAGAGCUGUGGUGAGCAGAGAAGGGAGAGGGUCGGGCUAAAUCCCAUCCAUCCAGGGCUGAGCUAAGAGAUGCCGGCAAAGUUCGCCAAUCUUUUCCUGCUUCAUUUUUAUCCACUUGAAAAGUAAAGAAAAGACAGGCUGCCUUCAGACUGAUGCCCUGUGGGUGCUGAGCUCCCGCCACACCUGUUCCCAGAGAUUCUCCUGAUGUCAUGCGGCUGAGCCUUUGUAAGGGGGGAUUCAUAGCAGCCUCC
rnacentral:lncRNA from 1 species